rnacentral:lncRNA from 1 species
ACCCGAAACCAGAAGAGGGCGUAUGGCUAGAGUUUCACCCUAAGAAGAAAGGGGAAGCAGGUGGAAAAGCAAUUAAAAAAAAAUCAGCAUCUCUCUCUAGCCUAUUAUCUCCUGUUAGACACAGCCCAGAAAAUGAAUAGAGACAAGUCCUGGCUGGGUCUGGGUUCAGAAACAUAAUAGAAGGAUUCAUCUAAUCUGUCGGCCACUGUGGAGGAAGUGAACCUUCUAGAUCCUGCUGACUCAUACAAUGAGUUUUGUGUGGACCAUCAGACAAAAGGGCUGGCUGGUGAAGGUGGCUGUUGUCUGGAAAUUCCUCCCAGCUCUCCUCUAAUUAUGUCAUAAGGACUGGAGGCCCCUUAGCCUGCUUGUGAUAACACGCAAGGAAAUAUGGGCCAACUCUUCACAUGAACACAAGAUAUUUCCAUGCUAGCCUUUUGCAAGUAACAACAGAGAGAGCUCUGUGCAGUUUUCACUGGAAUGCCUGUGGAUUGCUUGUGUCAUAACUGUAAUCUAAAGAGUUGUCCAUUUGUUGAUUCCUUUGUAUUUGUAUUGGUAGAAUUGCCACUAUCAAACCAAGAUCUUUAGCUGCCUUUGUAUCAACUUCUUUGGAGCUUAUGUGAUUUUCCAGAAAAUUUCCAAGGCAUAGUUUUGUCCCUAAGUCCCAUGAAUAUGUAAUAUUUUGUGUCUCUCUAUUAAAAUAGCACUUUUUGUGCAUUCCAUUAACAAA